GCUUUGAGAAUUGACCACCUGUUGAACCAUUUAGAAGCUGGGUCUGCCUCUGUGAGAUUCAUAUUUUAAAGACGGGCAAGCCCAGGAAGUCUUUCUCUUGCUUCCAGCUCUUGAAGAGGUAACUGGCUGAUCCAGUCCCGCACAGUCUGCGUGGCCAGGCCGGGCAGGCCCCAUGUGACCUGGCCGAGAUUUUCUGUCCCCUCAGGGAAGGCGAGCGAGCUGCAGAGCCCCUCACAGGGGAGUCCACUGGGCCUGGGCCUGGCAGGCGGCUGGGGCCCCUUCCCAGCGAGGUCAGGCCCCUUCCCGGCGGAACCUGACAGACCUUUUUCCAGCAGCACUGCCGGGCCGUUCCAGCUGGAGGCUCUGUUGGGGCUCAGAGUGGCCCUGAAGCAAGGAGUGGCCGGGGUCUGGGAGCGGCCACUGCUGGCCCAGUCUGGGAGCGGCCACGUAGCUGAGACUGCAGGGCCAAAAAAUUGGUGCAACCCAGACAACAGCACACGGCUGUGGCUUCCUCAGCCUGGCUCACAAUGAACGUUGUUUGUUUAACCACUUUUAGCCAGCCAUGCUGCAGAGAGAAGGACAAAAACAGCAGCAGCAGCUUUUCCUGUUUCUGUCACUCCUCAUGAAGAAAAGCGCUGAGUGGAGCUGGCGGCCGGCACGGCUCGCACGGUGUCAGCAGAGACCCCGUGAGCAGCAGCGAGAGGCACGGUGAGCGAUCUCCCCGAUGGACAGGCUGGAUGAGAUCAACCUUUCAGUGCUCCAGAACUCUAUAAAAACUGUUUCAGUUGGUAACGCUUGAGAACAAAUGAACCUACAAACACCAAUUCUCUCCCAAAUCAAGAAAAAGAAUGAGUGAAGACACAUAAAGAAAGCAACGUAAGAUGAUAAGCUCCAACGUAUCUGCUGACAUAGAAAUACAACUGUGGAGCUGCUUCCUAGAGUAACUGACUGAAGGCUCUUGACAUCACAAAUAACUGACUCCUAAAAAUUUCUUAAUAAAAUAUUAAGUUCUACCUUUCA